GUUGGCUUGGCGCAGUGGUAAGCGUACUCGGUUUGGGUCCGAGAGGUCGCGAGUUCGAACCUCGCAGCUGACC
rnacentral:tRNA from 1 species